ACCAACCAAACAACAUAUGUUGUUGAAGAUCUUGAACCGAAUACUGGUUAUAAAUUUCGAGUAAUCGCUAUAAAAUUGAAUGAGUCGUCACCAUAUAGCAACUGGAGUAGUGUUAUUAAUACAACAAGUAAGUGCAAAACUGACAAUCUUUUAAAGCUAUGAUCAUCCAGGGAAAAAUUAAAAUUAUUAUGGUCCUCUGAGAUAAUUGAACAACAUGUAC